GCGGAAGAUGAAUGGGCAAGCAAGUGUUCACUUCACGUGAAAACCCUAACCUCAAUUUUUCAACAAUCUGCUUCCAUUUUCUUCUACAUCACACAUCUUUUUUGACCGUGCCUCCAUUCUUCUCUGUCUUGGACUUCGUGCAUCUUUUCCACAGAGCCUAGCUUGAAUUUGUGCUCGUAAACCAGGAGCGUGAGUCAAGCUAGAGGCAAGUUGAAUAUGGUUGAGAUACAGUGCUUCUCAAUGACCGCUACUGAACCUCUUCUUCAACAGCAUGAUAAUGAGAUUGAGGUAUUUUGAGGUGUAAUUUCAAGAUCGCCAUUGAGGUAUCUCAAUGAUUGUGAAGACAAUGAGCGCCAUUGAAGAGGUCUUCAAGAUCGUCAAAGCUCAAACCAUGAUAGCCAUUUGUAGCACUGUGCCGAGCUACCGGGUCACAAUGGCUCUGAUUGAUAGGAUCGGAAGAUUCAAAUAAUCGACUUCACCUUUAUGACAGUGUUCAUGUUUGCACUGGCCAUUCCUUGAAAUCAAAGGACCGUGAAGGGAAAUUAGAUAGGGUUCAUGGUGAUGUGCUCACUCACCUUCUUCUUUUGCAGCUUUGGUUGAUGUUCAUAUUUUUGGUGCGGGGGACGAAAGGGAAAUUGAUGGAGGGCCGGUGAAGGUGGUAGGCGGGGAUUAAUUUCUGGAUAUAUUUCUUCUUCACAGGGGAAGAAUUUACUCAUAUCUACCUGUUCAACAAUCAAAUUAAAUGAAUCUAUAGCCACCUGUACCUUUCGGGCCGGGUACUGCCAUGACAAUAAACGUUCAUUGGCUUAAAA